UAACAAAAAAAGAACUUGCCAGACUAUUGUA
rnacentral:piRNA from 1 species